rnacentral:rRNA from 1 species
UGGGGAAUAUUGGGCAAUGGGCGCAAGCCUGACCCAGCAACGCCGCGUGAGGGAAGAAGGCUUUCGGGUUGUAAACCUCUGUCCUUGGUGACGAAAAAAAUGACGGUAGCCAAGGAGGAAGCCCCGGCUAACUACGUGCCAGCAGCCGCGGUAAUACGUAGGGGGCGAGCGUUGUCCGGAAUUACUGGGCGUAAAGGGUGCGUAGGUGGCCUUUUAAGUUGGAUGUGAAAUACCCGGGCUUAACUUGGGGGGUGCAUCUAAUACUGGAGGGCUAGAGUGAAGGAGAGGAAAGCGGAAUAUGUAGUGUAGCGGUGAAAUGCGUAGAUAUGAGGAGGAACACCAGUGGCGAAGGCGGCUUUCUGGACUGUAACUGACACUGAGGCACGAAAGCGUGGGGAGCAAACA